UCAAUUUUUAAGUUUUCUAUUUUUGUUUUCUUUGUUUGUACGAUGUACCAUUGUAAAGCUAACUCUGAAACAAAGCAAAGGAUCCGUCCGCGUUCGAUAACUGCCACUACUUACGUUUUGUUCAUUCGAUUCUUGCGGCACGAUCAUUGUGGUUUGUCGAAAACAGUCUGCAGUCGCACCAAAGCUUUGGGUUGGCUCUUUGUGGGUGUCGUCCUGUUGGCUGAUCCGUUGCUAUUGAUUCUGGGGGGACACCGUCGAAUUGGCAUCUUGAGAGUAUGAAUAGAGCCUGUUCUAUCCCCAUAGCAUCCACGCAUUCCUUUGGUAAACCUCAAGGCAAUGCCCAUGGAAUCCAUCCAAGUUCUAUCUUGGAAACAUUGCUUAUUUUUUUACCCAAGAACCUUUUUACACCAGAAGAAAAGCCUGCACUAGAAGGGGACAAACUGCAUCGUCACUAGCAGGAAGGAAUUAUUUCUGAUUUUGAGGAACCAAACACAAAUUCAAAGACUUGUCGUGUGUUGACUGCUGUAAGCACCAGUUAAUAAUCGACUACGGCUUGAGGCAGGUCACGGCUGCCUUCCAAAAUAACUAGCAAAGGAUCAGCGAAUAGGAUGAGAAACAUGAAAAACGAACCCCAUGGCGAGGAUCAAACUGCAGAUUAAAGUUAUCUAAAAAUCUUCGCCAACUGUUUGUUCCACGGUCCAAGGAAUGUAUUCUGUCGGAGGAGAAAGAAAGCAUUUAAUUAUGUGUUUAAUAUCAGAGGAAAGAGCAAGAGAACCCGCUUUCAUUCGUUUCUUUUCAUUCCAAGCAGUCUUCACUGUAAUCCUGAGCAAGGGGCAUGGGAAUUCCUGUCGGGGUAUGUGCCGGUUGUUGCGUGUUUACGCAACGUAACCAAAGUCAAAUCCUCUCGAUUAGGAUUCAAUCUGCUGCAGGGCCCUGACACGGCAACACUGCUUGUUGGUCCUUGUUGUUGCAUGCCACACUGCGUCCCACCUCCCAGCAGUCAGGUCAGGCAGCAAAGUCAAACCGAUUAAAACACACGCACGGACACGGAUACGGCCACGGAUACGAGGACGAGGACACAGGACACAGGACAGGGGCAAAUGGAGAACCAUUGUCCAGGGCGGUGCGGUGCUUUGGUGUCCACGUGUGUCCGUGGUGCGGACUCUGAACUCCGUAUCUGUGGAUCCAUAGGAACUCCCGUAGCUGUGUCGCUGUCUGUGGAGCGGUAUUCUUCAAGGGGCAAUUAACUGUUAAGCUUCCCCAACAGCAACAGCAGUAGCCGGAAAAAAACGUUGCAAGCG